AAUACCCAGGCCAGGUUUGGUUUAAAAGUGGUCUUCUAGCUGUUUCUCAGAAUACACAGGAAAGUUCUAGAGGAGUGAACCUCAGACGAAAACCAUCCCAGGAAUGGCCUCCUGGAACUAGAAGGCAGAGUUUCCACUUUCCCUGAACCUCUGUCAGGGUCUUGGUAUUCAUUUGUGAUGUGGCCAAGUGGUUAGAGAAAAGCCCAGGAAGGUAAAAAACAGAGGUCUCUGCCGGUAAGAUCUGACUAACUAGAAUUUUCUCAUUCUAGGUUUUAACUCACACAUCGACUAACCCUUGAGGUGAGUAAUGGGAUUGAAGGGUCUUGGCAAGAGAUCGGGGAUGAAUCAGAGUCAUCUCAUCAACUCAUCAACAACCGCUUUGGAAAAUCGCUCUCAUCUCUCUCCUGAUGUCAACAGUGCCCUCAGGAGAUGGGACGCCAGAUGGCAUUUGUCUGUGUUUUAAUCAAAAUGCCCUGUUCUCUUUGCCACGCGUGAAGCAGCAGCAUUCCGUGCUGAGCAGAGAUGAGAAACAGCACAGAAACCUGUAGAACCUUUUCAGGAUUUCGAGGGCAAGAAAUGUACCCAAAGGCUAGGUCAGCCUAAUUCCAUUAACUUCAGUGGCAGCACCUUGAUUAUGGGAACAAAGCCUCCCUCAGUCAGCCCUGGGCGGAUUCUAUGAGAAUGAGAAAGUGAGGCUUAUGCAAGAUUAAGUAACCUGCACAAGGCUGUGGAGCUGGAAAGCAGUAGAGUUUGGAUUCAGCCCAGCCAGUCUAACUCCAGGGUUCUGCGCUUUUUGGAUUUCUUAGAAGCAGAAAGAGCUAUGCCCAAGGCAAUCAGAUGGCCACUCUGAGGACUCAUCUGAAGCUCACCUUGCAACAAUGUUACCACCUUAAAAGGAGGGCCAUGAUGGCAGUAGCCCUCAGAGAGCGAGAGAAAGAAUAAUUUUUUUUGGGGGGGGUGGUUUGCAAGCAACAGAAACUCACUAUAUUAUUUAA